GUGGAGAAUGUGGCUUAAUUUGACUCAACGCGGGAAAUCUUACCAGGUCCGGACACACAGAGGAUUGACAGGUGAAUUAAAAAGCCUUUCUAGGCUUAUUAAAAAAUAUGCUAGUCCUUUCAUGAUCGUGUGAUAGGUGGUGCAUGGCCGUUCUUAGUUCGUGGAGCAAUCUGUCUGCUUAAUUGCGCUGUCAAAGCGAAUAAAAAGACAUUAAAAUCAUAUAUACAUUUUACUCUUUUGUACUAUGUUUUAUUUGAUUGUCUGUAUUUCGCGCGCGCAACGAACGUGACCG
rnacentral:rRNA from 1 species